rnacentral:misc_RNA from 1 species
CGAAAACUUGUUAAUUGAUAGUCAAAGUUUCCAGGGAAAGAAGCAUACGAAUCUGCAAUAAUGGACCAUGCCAUUAUUGUCCACAAUUAUAGGUUCGACUCUGGGAUAAUACUGAUAAUUGUUAAAAGUUAAGCUAUUUCUAACAUAACACACUGAAUUCCCAUUCAGAAUUUUGUACUUGUAACUCAGCACUCUAUCGUCACAAUUCAGAAUCAUUGUUUUUCUUCUCCUCCACCAUGAAAAAAAAAGAAGAACGAAAAAAAAAAUACAAAAGAAAGGGUAGCCUCUUCUAUCAAUUAUCACCUCUAAUAAAAAGCCAUGAGACUUUUUAAGCUAAAGAUUGGGCCUCUACUAUCAAUUAUCAAAGAGUGGACUUUGGCACUUCUUUCGUAUAUUUCAGCUAUGUUCAAGAGUCCAAAUUUGCAAGAGGAAAAACUUUAUAGCAACAGCAAUACAUACAAUCUCUGCAUCAGAAUCAGGUAGAUCUAACUGAAGCAGGGUAAGCUGAACCUCCAUUCCCAUAACCGCCAUGCUUGGAGUGCAGAGGAGACCGAAGAGGAUGGGCUGAAUGCUGUUCUUGUCUCCAGUUAAUAUUAUUACCCUGUUUUUUGGUCUUCACUUUGCUCUGUUUAGGUUUAUCUUUGAUGGCAUAUAUCUUUUCUAAGCUGUCCAAGACUUCAUCCAUGGAAGGUCUUAUUUUGGGGUCGGAUUCCAAGCAGUGUGUUAUAAGGUCAGCCGCUUGCAUUGCACCUUUCAUUGGGUACUGUUCUUCAAGCCUGGGGUCCAUAAUCUUUUUCAGUUUCCUUUUAUCUGAAAGAGAUGGCAAGGCCCAAUCUACCAAAUUGUACUCGCCCGUAGGCCGGUUGGUGUCAAGUGCUCUGAGGCCCGUUAACAAUUCCAGCAGGACAACACCAAACCCAUAAACAUCACUCUUCACGUACAAAUGCCCUGUAAAAUUUACAACGUUAGAGCACUCCUGUUCAUGUUUGUCGCUGAUUGUCUAGGUGUAGAAAUUUACCUGUGGCGACAUAUUCAGGGGCUGCGUAGCCAUAUGUGCCCAUGACCCGAGUUGUAACGUGAGAGUUGCCAUUUACUGGGCCCAAUUUGGCCAAUCCGAAGUCUGAAAGUUUACCGUUGUAGUCCUCAUCCAACAAAAUAUUAGAGGUCUUAAAGUCCCUGUAUAUGACACUCUUUUCUGAGUUGUGCAAGAAGGCAAGGCCUUGAGCUGCUCCAAUUGCUACUUUAAGUCUAAGAUCCCAUGUAAGUGGCUCUGCACCCUUUCUGAAUAGGUGGUUUUCCAAGCUUCCCUUCUGCAUGUAUUCAUAGACAAGAAGGAACUGUUUUUCUUCCCAACAAUAACCUAGGAGCUUCACAAGAUUUGGGUGUGAAAACUUGCCAAGAAAUUUCACUUCUGACUGCCAUUCUUCUAGCCCUUGAUGGCUAUCUGAGUUGGACUUCUUGACGGCGACCGCAAUGCCGACGCCUACUUUCGACGGUGCGUAAGUCUUCUCAUCAAUCCAACCUUUAAACACUCUUCCAAAUCCACCCUCUCCUAGGAAUGUAUCAGGUCUGAAGUUCCUCGUAGCGCUUUUUAGCUCUGCUAGAGUGAAAAUUUUAAGAUUCGGGGUGAUGAUCUUCCCGCUGUGAGUAGACGUCGUCAUCGCCAUCGUCGUCGUUUGGUUUUUGUUGUUGCUUCCUCCAUUUUCUGGGCUGUUAUUAUUGGUUCUGCUACUCGGAAUUCCAGGUUGUUUGCUAUUGUUAUUCCCUGAGGUUUCUGGUGUAGAAUGAUUGGUAGUGGCUGGGCUGUUGUGAUUAUUCACAGGAGAUCCGAAACAAUUUCCCAUGUCUAACCACCUGUUUUGGUUUUUUUCGAUUGAAGGGUAAUUAGAAGGUGGUGGCUAUGGACAUAAUUUUCCAAUUUGAAGCUAGUAAUUUCCUCGAAAGAUACAAGAAAAAGUCAAGGUGAUAGAAACGCCAGUAACAGUGACUUGUUUCUUGGACUUUUCUUUGUCUCUCUCUCUCAGCUUUCUUGUUUAUGUCGCUGCCUUGCCAUGUUCUUCCGCUUCUUCCUUCUUUUUAUACUCUUUUCUUGCCCUUUUGCCACGCUUUCUAUAGUGCCAAAGACAAAGAUAGAGAAUUAACAAAUCAG